AUGGUUCGCUAUUCAUUUGACCCAGAAAACCCUACUAAAUCUUGCAAAUCAAGGUGUUUCCAUCUUUGUGUUCACUUUAAGAACACUCUUGAGACUGGGCGUCAUCAAGGGUGUGCUUAUAUGAAAAGCCACGAAGUGUCUGAACGAUGUCACUUUACAGAGACAGUGUUGCCAUUCUGAUGUUACAAUGGGGGAGUUGGUAGUGCCCAGGCCAAGAAGUGAGGCUGGACACAAGGUCAGUGGUCCAAAAAGAGUGCUGAGUUUUUGUUGCACUAGCUUAAAAAUGCAGAGAGCAAUGCUGAACUUAAGGGUUUAGAUGUAGAUUCUUUGGUCAUUGAGCACAUCCAGGUGAAUAAAGCACGUAAAAUGCCCCUCCAGACUUAGAGAGCUCAUGGUUGAUUAACCCACACAUGAGCUCUCCCUGCCACAUCGAGAUCAUCCUUACUGAAAAGGAACAAAUUGUUCCUAAACCAGAAGAGGAGGUUGCCCAGAAGAAAAAGUUAGCGCAGAAGAAACUAAAGAAACAAAAACGUAUGGCUCUG
rnacentral:lncRNA from 10 species